UUGGUGUUGACUACUAGGUCUGUAUUUCCUGAUAAUUAUUAUUUUGAAAAUGUCCAACAAAAAAUUAUCUUGAAUUUGGUUUCGGAUCGUUCACUCAGUUCCAGUUCAGCAAAAUCAAUUCCACACACAAAUCGCGGAGAUGUUGACUCUUUUCCAAACGGAGUUAUUUUCUUGUGAUUAAUUUAUUCGAAUCAUAUUUGAAUUAAAUAUUUAUUCUAGUUGUUGAUGAUGAAGUGAUACAAUGACUCCUACAAAGGACCCCAUUCUUGCUCUCUGCCUCUCUUCCUCGAAACCCCCUCAAAAAAAAAACAUUCCUUUGUGUCCCCAGAAUAUAUUCAGAGUUUAAUGAACCGUUAUCGUUGUUCCAUAUCAUCGACUGCGUUUCUUUUUUUCAUUCCUCCAUGACAAGGAACUCCAUUCAAAUCGAUUUUAUCGAAUGCCAAACAAAACAAAACAAAAUGCCAAAAAAGAAACAAAACAAGAAAGAAUGACAAUUCAAACAAAAAUAUCAAUAGCAGAGGUCAUUUUUGGGGCGGAGGUCAUGAUGAUGGACCUCUGUGUGUUUAGAUAUUAUACACUCAGAGAAAAAUACGUCUCUAUUCGUAAUAAAUUUGAGUAUUUUUGUUUCGUUGUUGUUUUUUUGCCAAGUCGUGACAAGAAAAUCAAUAAACGCAUGACAUUGUAUUUGGUCAUGAGCGGCCUUCUUAGCAGGGAUAUGGCAUGGAGGAUAAUAAAAAUUACAUAUGUGUAUGUUUAUGAGUGUGUGUGCCAUUUCUUUUAUUUUGCUGCUCCGAUUGUUGAUGGGUAUUUAGCCAAUGCGAAGGAAAGACAUUAUAUUUUCCAUUUGAUGUUGUUGGGGGGGUAAUAAAGUAAAUAAAUAAAAAUGACCAUUUGCCAUCGCUU